AAUAAUGUAAAAUAUUUCAUUACUAAUCUAAAAAUACUAAGUGUUAAAAUGAUGUUUAGUUAUGAAAAAAGUUUAGUUAUGGGACUUCAGUAUGUUAUUAACAUUAACUUCCCCUGUUUUAAAAAAUGUUUUGGUGGGGAAACAGGCAAAUGUAGAAUCAUGUGUGAUACGCAUUAUACUUCUGUUGGUCAGACUGUUCCAGAUCUAACUUUCAGAAAGUUGAGGAUUAGAGGAACAACUUAAGUGACACUGCAAGAAAACAGCCUGACAAAACAAGGAUUUAGGGCAUUCUAGAAAGCUCAUCAAAAAGUGAAUGUCCUGAAAAAAGAAAAAGUGAGGAUAUUCUACAUUCAGAAAUAACUGAGAUAAAACAAGCAAUCCUUGAUCUGGAUUAGGUCCCACGACAAAAGCAACCAAACAGCUCUGUGCUCCUAUAACUAAACAGUCACAAGACACAUUUUUAGAAAACAUUUUUAUUAAAGAUAAACAGGUACAUAUACACAAUGGAAUAUUACUCAGCCAUUCAAAAGAAUACAUUUGAUACAGUUCUAAUGAGGUGGAUGAAAAUGGAGCCUUUAUACAGAGUGAAGUAAGCCAGAAAGAAAAACACCAAUAUAGUAUACUAACACAUAUAUAUGGAAUUUAGAAAGAUGGUAAUGAUAACCCUGUAUGUGAGACAGCAGAAGAGACACAAUAUGUAUAGAACAGUCUUCUGGACUCUGUGAGAGAAGGCAAGGAUGGGAAGAUCUGAGAGAAUAGCAUUGAAACAUGUAUAUUAUCAUAUAUGAAACAGAUCGCCAGUCCAGGUUCGAUGCAUGAUACAGGGUGCUCAGGGCUCGUGCACUGGGAUGACCCAGAGGGAUAGGAUGGGUGUUCAGGAUGGGGAACACAUGUACACUCGUGGCUGAUUUAUAUCAGUUCAGUUCAGUUCAGUUCAGUCGCUCAGUCAUGUCCGACUCUUUGCGACCCCAUGAAUUGCAGCACGCCAGGCCUCCCUGUCCAUCACCAACUCCCGGAGUUCACUUAAACCCACGUCCAUCGUGUCGGUGAUGCCAUCCAGCCAUCUCAUCCUCUGUCGUCCCCUUCUCCUCCUGCCCCCAAUCCCUCCCAGCAUCAGAGUCUUUUCCAGAGUCAACUCUUCGCCUGAGGUGGCCAAAGUACUGGAGUUUCACCUUUAGCAUCAUUCCCUCCAAAGAAAUCCUAGGGCUGAUCUCCUUUAAGAAUGGACUGGUUGAAUCUCCUUGCAGUCCAAGGGACUCUUAAGAGUCUUCUCCAACACCACAGUUCAAAAGCAUCAAUUCUUCAGCGCUAAGCUUUCUUCACAGUCCAACUCUCACAUGACUACUGGAAAAACCAUAGCCUUGACUAGAUGGAUGUUUGUUGGCAAAGUAAUGUCUCUGCUUUUGAAUAUGCUAUCUAGGUUGGUCAUUACUUUCCUUCCAAGGAGUAAGCGUCUUUUAAUUUCAUGGUUGUAAUCACCAUCUGCAGUGAUUUUGGAGCCCCCACCCCAAAUAAAGUCUGACACUGUUUCCCCUGAUUCCCCAUCUAUUUCCCAUGAAGUGAUGGGACCAGAUGCCAUGAUCUUUGUUUUCUGAAUGUUGAGCUUUAAGCCAACAUUU
ensembl:lncRNA